GAUGAACGCUGGCGGCGUGCUUAACACAUGCAAGUCGAACGAACGACUAUUAACAGAACCUUUCGGGGCGAAGAAUAUAGAAGUUAGUGGCGGACGGGUGCGUAACGCGUGAGUAAUCUGCCUUUGUCAAAGGAAUAACUAUUCGAAAGAAUAGCUAAAACCGUAUAACAUAUUAAUAGGGCAUCCUAAUAAUAUCAAAACGGUAGUGGACAAAGAUGAGCCCGCGUCUGAUUAGCUAGUUGGUGAGAUAAAAGCCCACCAAGGCAACGAUCAGUAGCCGACCUGAGAGGGUGAACGGCCACAUUGGAACUGAGACACGGUCCAAACUCCUACGGGAGGCAGCAGUGGGGAAUAUUGCACAAUGGGGGGAACCCUGAUGCAGCAACGCCGCGUGAGUGAAGAAGGCAUUCGUGUCGUAAAACUCUGUAGUAGGGGAAGAAAGAAAUGACAGUACCCUAAAAGAAAGCCCCGGCUAACUACGUGCCAGCAGCCGCGGUAAUACGUAGGGGGCAAGCGUUAUCCGGAAUAACUGGGCGUAAAGGGUGCGCAGGUGGUUUAACAAGUUAGUGGUGAAAGGCAUAGGCUCAACCAAUGUAAGCCAUUAAAACUGUUUAACUUGAGUGCAGGAGAGGAAAGUGGAAUUCCUAGUGUAGCGGUGAAAUGCGUAGAUAUUAGGAGGAAUACCAGUGGCGAAGGCGACUUUCUGGACUGCAACUGACACUGAGGCACGAAAGCGUGGGGAGCAAACAGG
rnacentral:rRNA from 1 species